rnacentral:rRNA from 1 species
AACGAACGCUGGCGGCAGGCCUAACACAUGCAAGUCGAGCGCGCCCUUCGGGGUGAGCGGCGGACGGGGGAGUAACGCGUGGGAACGUGCCCUUUUCUACGGAAUAGCCUCGGGAAACUGAGAGUAAUACCGUAUACGCCCUUUGGGGGAAAGAUUUAUCGGAAAAGGAUCGGCCCGCGUUGGAUUCGGUAGUUGGUGGGGUAAUGGCCUACCAAGCCGACGAUCCAUAGCUGGUUUGAGAGGAUGAUCAGCCACACUGGGACUGAGACACGGCCCAGACUCCUACGGGAGGCAGCAGUGGGGAAUCUUAGACAAUGGGGGCAACCCUGAUCUAGCCAUGCCGCGUGAGUGAUGAAGGCCUUAGGGUUGUAAAGCUCUUUCAGCUGGGAAGAUAAUGACGGUACCAGCAGAAGAAGCCCCGGCUAACUCCGUG